UGUAAGGUAAAGGCUGAAUAUUGUAGAUUUAUUACAAUAUGUUGCAUGUUUGAAUUAAAAUACCUGUGGAUAUGCAGGAGCACACACUCUACAAAGGCCUGACUGGAGAUUUGCCUGAUCUAUCCGUCCUUCAGAUGACAGCGGCUCGCUUCAAGAGCAGGUGAAGCAAGUUGGGACAAUGUUGAAGACAUUUGCUCGCACUGGGCAAUCAGGUGCAGAUCAAACCCUAAUGCUGCGACGUCUUGG